rnacentral:rRNA from 1 species
UGGGGAAUUUUGGACAAUGGGGGCAACCCUGAUCCAGCCAUGCCGCGUGUGUGAAGAAGGCCUUCGGGUUGUAAAGCACUUUUGUCCGGGAAGAAAGGGGACGGGCUAAUACCUGGUCUGGAUGACGGUACCGGAAGAAGAAGCACCGGCUAACUACGUGCCAGCAGCCGCGGUAAUACGUAGGGUGCAAGCGUUAAUCGGAAUGACUGGGCGUAAAGGGUGCGCAGGCGGAUUGGCAAGACAGAUGUGAAAUCCCCGGGCUCAACCUGGGAACGGCAUUUGUGACUGCAAGUCUAGAGUAUGGCAGAGGGAGGUGGAAUUCCAUGUGUAGCAGUGAAAUGCGUAGAGAUAUGGAGGAACACCGAUGGCGAAGGCAGCCUCCUGGGCCAAUACUGACGCUCAGGCACGAAAGCGUGGGGAGCAAACAG